rnacentral:rRNA from 1 species
GACAGAGGUCUCGAGCGUUAGGCGGAAUCACUGGGCUUAAAGCGUGUGUAGGCGGUCUUGUAAGUACCUUGUGAAAUCCCCCGGCUCAACCGGGGAACGGCUGGGUAUACUGGCGGUCUUGAGCCAUCCAGGGGCAGUCGGAACAGACGGUGGAGCGGUGAAAUGCGUUGAUAUCCUAAGGAACACCGGUGGCGAAAGCGGCUCACUGGGUCUCUUCUGACGCUGAGGCACGAAAGCUAGGGUAGCGAACGGG